rnacentral:rRNA from 1 species
UGGGGAAUUUUGGACAAUGGGCGCAAGCCUGAUCCAGCCAUGCCGCGUGUCUGAAGAAGGCCUUCGGGUUGUAAAGGACUUUUGUCAGGGAAGAAAAGGCUGUCGCUAAUACCGACAGCUGAUGACGGUACCUGAAGAAUAAGCACCGGCUAACUACGUGCCAGCAGCCGCGGUAAUACGUAGGGUGCGAGUGUUAAUCGGAAUUACUGGGCGUAAAGCGAGCGCAGACGGUUACUUAAGCAGGAUGUGAAAUCCCCGGGCUCAACCUGGGAACUGCGUUCUGAACUGGGUGACUAGAGUGUGUCAGAGGGAGGUAGAAUUCCACGUGUAGCAGUGAAAUGCGUAGAGAUGUGGAGGAAUACCGAUGGCGAAGGGCAGCCUCCUGGGAUAACACUGACGUUCAUGCUCGAAAGCGUGGGUAGCAAACAGGAUUAGAUACCAGUCCACGCCCUAAACGAUGUCAAUUAGCUGUUGGGCAACUUGAUUGCUUAGUAGCGUAGCUACGCGUGAAAUUGACCGCCUGGGGAGUACGGUCGCAAGAUUA